UUAACACAUGCAAGUCGAGCGACAAAGGGGCUUCGGCCCUGAGUAGAGCGGCGGACGGGUGCGUAACACGUGGAUAAUCUGCCUCGUGGCGGGGGAUAACAGUCCGAAAGGACUGCUAAUACCGCAUGUCAGGUCGGAAACCCCGGUUUCUGACGAAAAAGAGGGCGCCCGCAAGGGGGCUCUCACCACGAGAUGAGUCCGCGGCCCAUCAGCUAGUUGGCGGUGUAAUAGACCACCAAGGCUAAGACGGGUAGCUGGUCUGAGAGGAUGACCAGCCACACUGGGACUGAGACACGGCCCAGACUCCUACGGGAGGCAGCAGUGGGGAAUAUUGGACAAUGGGCGAAAGCCUGAUCCAGCCAUGCCGCGUGAGUGAUGAAGGUCUUCGGAUCGUAAAGCUCUGUGGGAAGGGACGAAAAAGCCUAACCUAAUACGUUAGGUCUUGACGGUACCUUCUUAGCAAGCACCGGCUAACUCCGUGCCAGCAGCCGCGGUAAUACGGAGGGUGCAAACGUUGCUCGGAAUUAUUGGG
rnacentral:rRNA from 1 species